rnacentral:lncRNA from 1 species
UAAUUCCUGAUUUCUUAGAGUGCCUGGCGUUGCCAAAUUCAUCAUCCAAUACGUCCGGUAGCUUUAUGGGAUCAUUACUCAGCAACACAUCUACAGGACAAGUACUGAACCAAGACGAUGAGAUUUUCCAGACGGGGUCUAUUGCUCCUCUGUCACAACAGCUACAUCAAGAACGGCAGCAUGAGAAGCAACAAAAACAAAUACCAAC